rnacentral:lncRNA from 1 species
CAGUCGGAACCAGCUUGGAACGUAGAGGGAGUGGAGUUGAGAGGCUUCUCGCAGGAUUUCAGGAUGUGGGGACCGAAGCGGAGAAAACAUGACGGUGAACCAUGGCAGCAGUGCGACGUCUAUCCCAGGCAACAGCGGCGUCGACAUAUUUUGAAAAGAAUGAGAGAAGUGGAGAGUGCAGACUCGAUUAUGUUUCUAUGGCGACCUUCAGUUUGAGUGCGAGCGUUGGAGAAGCAGGGACAGCUUGUGGCAAUCGCCGACUUCUUCGGAAUGGACGCAGCAGCAGCAGGAACCGACUUUGAGCACGGAGGGAUGGAGUGGGGUUGUACUCGGUGAGGGAGUUGCUUUGCUUGAUCACAUUCGAGCGUGGAGAGAAGCGGCGGUGGGAGUUGGAUCUGGCUCCUCAAUCAAAUGACAGCAGCAACAACAUGAUUAUGGUCAACCAUCUGUUUCUCCAUAUUCUCAAAGUUAUCCUGUGCGGCAUUCGUCUCCUGUGGGAUAGCUACACUCGUCAAGAUUAUGCCGUGACUUUCUUCUUCUUCUUUUCUUUUUUUUUUUUUGUAGGAAUUGGUGAUUUUGCACGCAUCCAUUGAAAAGUCGUGGAGUUUUUUUUUCAUAUAGAAGUUUUAUGUUGCCCCAACUUCAACUAUUGUUCGAGUGCAUUCAACCGAGGAAUUUCGCUGAUACAAAUUGAUGGAGUGCAUUCAACCGAAGAAUUUUGCUGAUACAAAUUCGAGGGAUUUCUUCAUCUACUCAUCGGAGCUUCUCAAUAUGGAUUGGAUGAUGUUUACCUUGCACCUUUAGGUGGCUCUCAAUUGGCAUUUAUUCAGAUUCUGGGUGCGCUCGAAUCUGGGCCAUUGUGAGUCUUGCCUUUAAAGAUUGCUGGUUACAUCUUUCUCAUUGCGUGCUUCUAUGUGGACUAGAUGACUCAAUUCUUUAAUAGGUCUUGGGUGCGCUCGGACCUAGGAUUGCUCGAGUCUAGUUCCAAUGGAGUUGUUACUUUUGGCGAGCGCGUGCUUCCACUCCGCUACUACCGGUUCAAGGAGUUGUUACUUUUGGUGAGCGCUUGCUUCUACUCCAUUCCGAGGCGUCAUAAAGCUCAAAGCUCGAUACAUACGUUGGAAGCAAGGUGAAGCACUCCGCAUCGGCGCAUACUUUGGAAGCAAGGAGAAGCCCUCCAUAUCGAUGUAUACUUUGGAAGCAAGGUGAAGCACUCCGCAUCGGCGCAUACUUUGGAAGCAAGGCGAAGCCCUCCGCAUCGGCGCAUACUUUAGAAGCAAGGCAAUGCACUCCGCAUCGGCGCAUACUGUGGAAGCAAGGCGAAGCCCUCCGCAUCGGCGCAUAAGGCUCAAAGAUCAAGUUUAAGAAGAUCGAAGGCACAACUCUCGAGCUCAGAGACCAUCCAAGAAUCAACUUGAAGAUUGGAGAGAGCUCUUUCAAAGUGUGCUGAAGCUAGAUGUGGAGACGCGGAGUUUAAAUUUGAUCAAGAAAAAGCUUUGAAGGUUUGGACCCGUUUUGUCACUUGCCUCUUCACUUGUAUUAUUCCAUAACUUUCAAGCAACAUUCAUUGUUUCUUAUGAAUUAAUGUACCAUUUAACUUCAACAUCCAAGCAUAACAAUCAAUAUGCCAACCAUUCAUUUUACUCAUCAAAUUUGAAGGAUGAACAACUCCAAAUCAUGACUGAACUUAGAGAUAUCUAAGAGCAUCCACAAUGGUGGUGUCUUAGAGGGGUGUCUUAGGAGUGGGCCCCACCUAAGACACACCCCUCUCCAAUGCAUUGUGUCUUAGGUGGGUGCUUAAAUCCCCAUUUCCACAAAAUUCAUAUUUCUACACUUUUAUUUUUAAAUUUCUACUUUCAUUAAAAAAAUUAAACAUUACAAUAAUUUAAAGACAUAAUUUAAAUACAAUAAAAAAAAUAAAAAUUACACUAAUUUUCUAGGACUCAAUCGGACCAAAACGAGACCAAAUGUGCUCCUUCAAGUCCAAAGUGAGGCGAGCAUGCAUCUCCGCGUCUCGCAUGGAUGCUUGUCGUGCAAUAAAUGCACGAAAAUCCGGCGGAGCACCGACAUGAGGUUGAGAUGCGGCGCUACUCGAAGCUUCGUCGGCGUCUUCUUCCCACUGCGUUGCUUGCUCGCCUUCGUCUUCGAUGAUCAUGUUGUGCAAAAUGAUGCACGUGAACAUGAUGUCGCUCAACGCCUCCUUGCUCCAAAGACGCGCUGGGCCUUUGACGAUUGCCCAACGAGCUUGAAGGACGCCGAAGGCUCGUUCAAUAUCCUUGCGAGCCGCUUCCUGCAUCACUUUGAACCUCUUCCCCUUCGGAUCCGUCGGAUGUGUAGGACUCUUCACGAAUACAGGCCAAUUGGGAUAGAUGCCGUCAGUCAAGUAGUACCCACUUGUGUAGUAGGAGUUGUUGACUUCAUAUGUGACCGGCACCCCCAUUCCUUGCAGUCGAUCGUUGAACAACGUCGAGUUGUUGAGCACGUUGAUGUCGUUGUUCGAACCAGGAGUCCCAAAAAAAGCAUGCCAGAUCCAUAGAUCUUGCAAGGCAACGGCUUCGAGGAUGAUGGUCGGUUUCCCCUGAUCGCCGCGAGUGUAUGUGCCUUGCCAUGCCGUUGGACAAUUCUUCCACGCCCAAAGCAUGCAAUCAAGGCUCCCUAGCAUUCCCGAGAAGCCGUGCUUCGCUUCGUGCAUUGCUAUAAGCCGUUGGCAGUCAGCGAAAGUCGGCCUCCUCAAGUACUCCGCGCCGAAGAGUUGAAUAAUGGCACGACUGAAUCUCCGCAAGCACUCCAACGAUGUGGACUCUGCAAUCCGGAGAUACUCGUCGUAUUGGUCCGCUGCCCCACCGUUAGCUAGCAUACGAACAGCGACAGUGCAUUUUUGCAAUGGCGUGAAGCCGGGCCUUCCAGUUGCAUCCGUGCGUUGUUGGAAGUAUGGAUCGGAGGCGACGGCAUUAACGAUGCGCAAAAACAACGCACGACGCAUCCGAAAACGACGGCGAAAGAUGUUGUCGGGGUAGACCGGAUUUUCAUCAAAGUAAUCCGCGUGCAAACGUACAGCGCCGGCUUCACGGUCCCGACGAAUGAAAGCCUUCUUCCGCGCACCUCGUCGGCGACGACGAGGUUGCUCUUCUGGAUCACCAAUAUCUUGAACAAUUUGGUUAAAUUGUUGUACAAGAUUGGAAAAUUCUUCAGCACGUCGCUCGUCCUCGUGGCUUGAUGAGGAGGAAGACAUUUUUUUUAGAAAUUGUUUUGAUGUGGAGAUGUGAAAUGAAUGAAAAAGAGUGGUGAUAUAUAUAGAUAAAAGGGAAAUAAAAAAAAAGGAAAAAAUUGAAAUUCAGCCGUUGCCUCCAACGGUCCAUUUAAAAAAAAAAACAAAAAAAAACCAAAAUUUAAACGGUCAUUUUUUGAAAAAAUUAACGAAUUUAGAAUUUUUUUUAAAAAAACGGCGCGUCACACGCCUCCUCUUCAACCCGACGCUAGGCUUCGGCUCGGCCUCGCACUUGGCCGAUUCUCCAGCGCGCGGCCUCCUUUCUCGCCCCGGGUCGAUCCCUCCUUAGCACCGGCCGCUGCGGAUGCUCUAAGCUGCCUACGUACCCUUUUGAAGGGAUCAAGUCAAAACGUAGUUCAAGGAUCAAUUUAUAUUUUGAUGGGGGGGCGUCGUACACAGUUUAUACUCUUGCGGGCCAGGAGUGACUAUUUAUUUUACCACUAUAUAGACAAAGUGGAGCAUAUAAUAGUUUAACCACAUAAUUUACCUUUUGGUGGGAGAAGUUUAGCAGUUUAACCACAUACACUUUCUUUGGUGGGUGCCGUGCAUAGUUUAUACUCAUAUGGGCCAGGAGUAACGUGCAGUUUAGGCUCGUGCGUCAAGGAGCUGUCUUCUUUUUUUGUGUUUCAGGGAUAGUAGCGCUUCAAGAACUUCCCAUUUAUGGGCCCAACUCUCACAUUAUCUUCCGAGAGUAGCUUAUAUGCCCCGUUGGUGUAGACUUCUUUGACGACAUAUGGGCCAUCCCAUCUUGAUACAAAUUUGUUUCCAACACGAUGAUUGGUCAUGAUCGGCCUUCUUGCUGCAAGCACCAAAUCUCCAACUUGGAAAGAGCAUGGUCGUAUCUUCUUAUUGAAGACUUUUGAAAGGCGAGCUUGAUAACAUUCCAAUCUUUGCUGAGCUUCCAAUCUCUUUUCAUCCAAUGCUUCCAAUUCUUUGAGGUGCAGGCGUGCAUUCUCCUUUUCAACUAGUAUUUCUUCGCAAGAGGUGAUAUGGUUUGAUGUGGCAACAUCUUCAUCUUGCUGGCGAGGACCCUUGAAAUCAACACACAUCCUUAUUCUUCCAUUUCUCUGGUGUAUGAAGACCAUAUUCUCUGCAACGCUUGUUGUGAUAACCCAACUUCUAAUGAGACUUACAAUUUCUCGACGCACUUGACUUUGAGCAAUAUGAGGAACUGGAUUACUAGCACUAUUAGUAGUGUAGUAGGAUGAAGCCACGCUUUCUCUAUCUUCUUCGUCUUCGAGCAUCUUUGAGUCGGAAGAAGCUAUACUUUCUCUAUCUUCUUCAUCUUCGACCGUCUUUGUAAUGAUAACAGUCUUCAUUCUGGCUUUCAAUUCUCUCCCACAUGUCACAAGUAAAGUGGUACAUCUUUUCAUACGAGAAGGGAUCGAGCUCCUUAGCUUCUUUGUCAUGUGCAGUCCAUAACUCCCUUUUGUCUUGCCUCUUUUCCAUGAUUUGCCUUUGCCAAGUCUUUUAAAGACAGAUGCUCGUUGAACUUCUCUUGUACCUAUCCUUUUGAAAGCAGAAACUCUUUGAAUGCUUGAAUAUUUCUGGAUUUGUUGGGUGCUGGCAUAGUUACUAGUAGCUCUUUUAAUGGCAAUACGAAUGGGACUCUGCACUGCAUACCCCAAGCCUGCUUUGGGGUUUUGGUUCGUGUUACUGGUCUUUGACUUUGACAUAGAGCUUUCUUGAGGAUUGUAUCCAGCAUUCACAAGAAGUGUAUAUGCCUUCGGACCAAAGUACUUUGACAGUUCUUUGUCUGAGAGAUCCCCGUUCUCUGUGGUGCCAUUUUUCUUUGGUCGGACAAACUCUUGGAGAAUUGGCUUCUUGGCAUCAAUUUUCGUUAAAGGCAUUGUGAAUCCUUCCAUCUCCAAAAAUGAUUCUACCUUCUUCUUCUCAUGGCAAGAUCCUGACUCGUCAUGCGGUGUAUCAUCUUUUACCAUUGUGACUUUGGUUCUCUCCAAAUAAAAUUUUGCAUCAGCAAAGUGUGACUCUGCUUCCGUGAACGGCUUUUGAUCACCAACCACUUUUCUUACAACACCAUUUUGAUAAUACUUGAAGCAUUGAUGCAAUGUUGAAGGAAUAACACCAUUCUCAUGAAGCCAUGGUCGACCGAGAAGCAUGUUGUAGGAGGUCUUAGCGUCAAUACGUGAAGCACGUCGUCGAAUCCAUAUCCUGCAUUAGAACGCAGCCUUAUAGUGCCAAGAGCUCUCUGUCCUUCAUGGUUGAAACCUUGAUAUUAAUCGGCUAUUUGAUAGUUCGUCCACUUAAUCCCUAAUUGCUUCAAAGUCCUUAGUGGAAAAUAUUGACCGCCGAGCCUCCAUCGAUGAGAAUUCGAUUGACCUUCUGCUCCUGGGUGUAGCAACUCACGAAUAAUGGUCUGUUAUGAGGUUCAGAUCCAAGCUGCAAAUCUUCUCGAGAAUGUGAUUGCCAAGACAUCAUCAUCUUCAUUCUAUUUAGUUGAAUUUUCAUCUACUUGAUUGGAUGUAUCAUAAGAGCUCCAACACUUCUAUUAUGUCACUCAAGUCAUUGGUGGCGACAUUUGCAGUAGCACAAUCUUCUUCAAGGGUUAUCUUUCCUUCUCGAGCCAAUCGCAUGACUUUGUCUUUGAAGAUAAAGCAAUCAUGUAUGGGAUGUCCAACCAAUCGAUGGUAUUUGCAAUAUUUUGGGUCAUCCGUUCGUCCUGCUUCAUUUGGUCGCUUCAUUUCUGGCAAAUCGAUCAGUCCUUCUUUGAUCAAGUCAUCAAAAAUUCCUGAAACAUCAGAGUCUAAGAAUGGGUAUUGUUUUUGCUGCAUUUCCUUCAAAGUAAGCUUUCUUUGCCCCAUAUCUCGGGAAGAGUUUUGGUUGCCUUCCUGACUCGCUUCUUUCUUAGAAAUUUCACAGACGUUGCCUUCACUGCCAUAGAUUCUUUUGUGGUCUUUGCUUUGAAUUCUUGCUUGAAUUUCGAGGCUCUUGGAUUGGUGGCCCUUCGAUUCCGCUCCGCCAUACUCAAUUCCAUGUCAUGAGCUCUAGUGCAGUUCUUCAAUGUCUAGGUUGGAUUCCUCGCAAGAUGUAUUGCAAGCCCCAAUGCAUCCCUUGAAUACACAUCUCAAUAGCGGAUGAUUCAGAUAAUCGGUCUUUGCAGUUGAGGCAGAGGUUUCUCCAUCUAUUGAUAUAAUCAAUCACCGGCUCUUCCUUAAAUUGACGAGAACUUGUGAGUUCCACCAUGCUGACAGUUCUUCUGGUGCUGUAAAAACAGUUAAGGAACUCGUGCUCCAACUGUUCCCAACUAUCGAUCAUGUUCGACUCCAAAUCUGUAUACCAGUCAAAAGCGUUUUCCUUGAGUGAGCGAACAAAUUGCUUGACCAAAUGAUCACCGUAGGUGCCAGCAUUAUUGCACGUCUCAACAAAAUGAGCCACAUGUUGUCUAGGAUUGCCUUUUCCAUUGAAUUGUUGGAAUUUGGGAGGUUGAUAACCAAUAGGCAUCUUUAAUUGAUCAAUCCUUUUAGUAUAAGGUUUGGAGUAGAUCAUGGAUGACUUGGAGCUACCACUAGCCUUCAUAGUUCCUUCGAUGAAUUCUUUGAGUUGGUCGAUUUGAAUGAAACCAUCGGAAGAGACUUGGAUGUUCUUUGAAGACGUCUUUUCUUCAUGGUGUUUCUCGGACGACUCUGAAUCAUCGCUUUCUUCAUCUUUCUCAUCAUUCACUCGACUUCCUUCUCCUUUCUCUAAGAUGAGCUUUGAGAUCUUAGCGUCUUGCUCCAAUAUAUGCUUGUUCAUGUUUUCAACAAGCUUAGCUAGGCCAGCAAUUGAUCACUUAUUUAUAGCAACAAAUUACCGCAACUAACACGGUGCAAUUGUAGCACAAAUUGGUAACCAAGUAUCGUAUCCACAGGGACUGACACAACGAAACUACUUUGGCUAUUUCNGCACGAUGUCCAUCUUCAAUUCAAUGUAAGGCCAGGCGGAUGAAACUUGCGUAGGAAUGCAUGAGCCAAAUCUUCCCAUAUGAUAUUAUCUCCCAGCUGCAGCGUAUGAUACCACGACUUCGCCUUAUCCCGCAGUGAGAAGGGAAAAAGACAAAGACGGAUAAUGUCAUCGGGGACACCAUUCAUCUUCACCGUGUUACACAGCUCCAGGAAAUGUGCCAGGUGCACAUUAGGGUCUUCGAUCGCUUGUCCACCAUAUUGGCUCUGUUAGACCAUCGUGAUCAAACCCGUUUUCAGCUCAAAGUUGUUAACGUUCACUCGUGGUGGCUCCUGGUAAAUAUAUUGCGGAAUGAAUGCCUCAUUAAUUGGAGGCUUCUGAGCCUCUGUAGCCGUCUUUUCAUCAAGUAACUUCUUCACUUGCUCUUGCAGAGCUCGCAUUUGAAUUUACAUUUGUUCAGGAGUGGCCAUCGUAUCCUGCUCAGCUUGAUUCUUUUGCUUGGUGAUAUUGCGCAAAGUAGCGUUGAUUUUAGGAUCAAACUUAAAAAGAGGACUACCGUGAGAUCUUGUGUUCAUGCGAAACCUACAAAAUCACACUUUAAAAAUUAGAAAAAAUAAAAACAAAUAAAACCUGUAGUACUAUAAAGUCCUAUCAAAAAUAUUAAAGCAACUUCUUAACAGUCCCCGGCAACGGCGCCAAAAAGUUGAUCACUAUUUUAUUAGCAACAAAUUACCGCAACUAACACGGUGCAAUUGUAGCACAAAUUGGUAACCAAGUAUCGUAUCCACAGGGACUGACACAACGAAACUACUUUAGCUAUUUCCUAAACAGACUCUCACAGUAUGCAGGUAAACGAAAGCAGGAAGGUUUAAUUAACUUAUACUAAAACGCAAUUAACAAUAAUUAAAAAGACGUAGGAAAAUUCGAAUAUUAAAAGACAACUGAUCCUAGGGUAGUAAAUUCAUUAACUAAAUCCACAUAAUAAAUCUAUUAAUCCUAUGUACCAGUUUAAUCCAGUUAUGAUGAGAGAUCACUUAAUUAAUCAAUCACUCUCGCUAGAGCAGCAACGAUCGUAGAUUAGUAAAUUAUCUAUCUCCGUUAGGUCUCAAGAAAAUCUACUAACUCCCAAUAGCUCAUAAGAAUAGCUCCCUAUGAUCCACCUAUCUCCGCUAGGUCUCAAGGUUAAAAUCAUAUCAUACAUUCCUGAAUCCGCUAAACAGUUAUCUCCGCUAGGUCUCAAACCGAAUAGCUAAACAUGCAAACUAUUGAUCAGAUAAUUCACAAGAAAUUAAGCACCAGGAAUUAUGAAUCAUAAACUGGAAGGCACAAAGGUAUUAACAAAUAAAUCACAUAAAUUCAAUCAACUAUUUACAAACCCUAGAAUCAGCUAAAGGGAACUAGCCAGACAUGCUGAAAUAAAACAUAAACAUAAUUAAGAAGAAUGCAAUUAUAAAAACUAAAUUGUAUAAAAACCGAAUGAAAACGAUUGUAGCGGCUUGAAUCUUCAGUCUUGAUCCAAGCCUUUAAAACUAGAAAGCAAUAAAAUUCUGAAAGCUAGAAAACUGAAAAAUAAAGUCUGGGAACCCUGAAUAGGUGCAAAGAAGACCUAUAUAUAGUACCAGGGUAAACUACAGAGUUUGAGCUCGAAAAGACUUUGAAAAACGAAUAAAAACGCAAAAUAACGGACUGACGGCGACCCCGCGGCGGGCAGGCGGCGGUCGCCGCCUUCUUCACAAUUUUUCCACUGCGCGCGGCGGGCGCCGCCUGAUCGCCAGCCACGCCGAUUUCUCGGCGGGCUGAGCGGCGGUCGCCGGCUGGGUCGCCGAGUGCUGCCCAAAUUUCCUUCAUCAGCCGGCGGUCGCCGGCAGCUCCGUUUCUUCCUUUUUCUCGAGCUCUUCAAGCUCGUUUCGUCGAUUUUUGCAUCCGAAACACUAGUAACUUGAUAUUUGGAUCUUCAACAUCCAUAUGUAGCUUUCAAAACACUCAAACCUAAAGCAAAAUAACCAAAACCAUACCCAAAAGUAAUAUCACAAAAGAAUAUGAAACUUAAACCAAAUGAUAUCACAACCAAGCAUAAUUCUAGCACUUUGAACUCUUAAACACUCCUAAAAACAAUGCAAAAUGAGUGUUUAUCAAUGGCCCAAAAUAAUUAAUGGUCCAGACCCAUUUAAACACAAGCCCAAUCUUUUAAAAGGUAAAGGCCCAAGGAAUGGCCCAACCCUUCCUUAUCUCUCCCACUCGGUCUCUCUCUCUUCUCAAACAGACGCUCCCUUCGGUUCUCUCUCUCUCUCGAUCCGUCUCCAGCCGAGGUGCCCGCCGCCGCCGCUCCGCAAUCCGGCGAGGCGGCGCUUCGCCGCUUCUCCCUUGUCAACGUCAAUCUCCCCCUAAAUUCUCGGGCGAAUUCCUCCAUUUUCACUCCGAGCCCUAGCUUCUCCCAAAAUCAAAAAUCGCCGCCGCCGCCGCCUAUGGAAGAACGGCGAACGGUCGCUGGUCGUCGCCCUGCCUGACUCGGACGCUCCCUUCGCCCAUCCCCUUUUGGCUUCAAUCGUUCUUCUCUCCCUCGAAUCUAUUGAAGGAACGAAGAAGCCCUUAUUUCUGCCAGAGAAAAGAAUACCGCCUCCGCUGCAACUGGAAGGCCGGCUUCGCCGCGCCGCUGCACUCGCGGCGGCGGCCGCUGGUCGUCAGGCCGCCGGCUGCUCCCCCCUCUCCUCAUUUCCUUUCUUUCAAGGUCGAGGGAAAAGAAAAAUGGAAGAAACCCAAGUUCCUCAGUCAGAAAUCGUCUCCGCCGCCCUUGAAAUCUCCGGCGACAUUGUCACCUCAAGCCGGCGUCGCUCCGCCUGAAACUCCACUGCCGCGGUGCACC